GGUUGUUUAGCUCAGUUGGUUAGAGCGCAUCAUUCACAUUGAUGAGGUCACAGGUUCGAGUCCUGUAACAACCA
rnacentral:tRNA from 1 species